UACGGAGGAUCCAAGCGUUAUCCGGAUUCAUUGGGUUUACAGGGUGCGUAGGCGGAAUGAUAAGUCAGUGGUGAAAGCCUGCAGCUUAACUGCAGAACUGCCAUUGAUACUGUCAAUCUUGAGUACAUUUGAUGUGGGCGGAAUGUGUCAUGUAGCGGUGAAAUGCUUAGAUAUGACACAGAACACCGAUUGCGAAGGCAGCUCACAAAACUGUAACUGACGCUGAGGCACGAAAGCGUGGGUAUCAAACAGG
rnacentral:rRNA from 1 species